AUACGAAGGGGGCUAGCGUUGUUUGGAAUUACUGGGCGUAAAGCGCGCGCAGGCGGUUUUCCAAGUCAGUGGUGAAAGCCCAGAGCUCAACUCUGGAACUGCCUUUGAAACUGGAAAACUAGGGUACGGGAGAGGUGAGUGGAAUUCCGAGUGUAGAGGUGAAAUUCGUAGAUAUUCGGAAGAACACCAGUGGCGAAGGCGGCUCACUGGCCCGUUACCGACGCUCAGGCGCGACAGCGUGGGGAGCAAACAGGAUUAGAAACCCCAGUAGUCC
rnacentral:rRNA from 1 species